ensembl:lincRNA
GGAUAAGGUAGUGUUCAGGAUCAAGAUUAGGAUCAGUUUCCGAGUCAGAAUCUACAUAGAGGACAAGUUCAAUGUAAGGGUAAAGGUGAGAGUCAGUCCAUGUCAAUGUCAGAGUCAGGACCAAAAUGUUGGCAAGCAUCAGACUAAAAGUCAAGGUAGUGUUAGGACAGGGGCAAGGACUAGGUCAUGUUCUAUCAGAGUGAAAACCAGAGUCAAAGUCAGGUUGAGGGUCUCAUUCCAUGUGAGGCUCAAAAUCAGGGUAAGGGUCUUGAUGAGGGCUCAGAGACAUGGUGAAGAUCAGAGACAAGUUUAGGGUAAGGGUCAAAGAAAGGAUUAGGUUGAGCAUCAGGCUAAUGAUCAGGGUGUGUGGAUCAGAGUCAAGAUUAGUUCUUUGGAUGAGGAUCACCAUCCCUUUUGGGUAGUUUUUUGUGUAGGUUGGAUAAAAGCUUUAUUCCCCAGGGGCGCCUGUGUGGCUCAGCUGGCUGUGUCCGACUCUUGGCUUUGACUCAGGUCAUGAUCUCCUGGUCAGGAGAUCGAACCCCAUGUCAGGCUCCGGGCUCAGCAGGGGGCCUGUUUCCUCUCUCCCUCUCCCUCUGCCACUCCCCCGGCUCACAUAUACUCUCUCUUCUCUCUCUCAAAUAAAUAAAUAAAUAAAUCUUUAAAAAAAAAAACAAAACACCUCUAUUCCCUAGAGAGGCAUUUUUUUAUUUGUACAGAAGCCAACAGCUACUUCAAGAUCAUCCACAUCCCUUCCUGUCCAACCCACUACUUCAGGUCUUCAGAAGGACCUACCCGAAGAACCUUGAAUUCACAGAAGCCACCUGGAACAGCAAGAGGAGUCUGCUUUCGUGUUCCUGCAGCCUUUCUAGUCUCUUCCUUCAGGAUUGUUGAGCCAGUGCCCUGGGGUGCUUGGUGUCAGUUUUCAGAUAAGGAAAGAGAGCUGGCUGUUAAGGCUCUAUUUAUAAUAUGCCCUUGAAAGCCGAGUGCUGACUUCUUUGAGCUAAAAAAACUGGCAGGUAAGGAAGGAGAAGAGACACAAGGCAGAGGGUCAUCUCCAGUGAGAUGGACAGCCCGGGACGCUGGAGCGUGGGCACGCAGGCGCACUCCCAGGCUCGCCCACACACAUACACAUCCAGGCCAAAAUGAAUAAAGAGACAAAGGAGUCCGGGAGAAGACAGGGAAGUGCCCGGAACAUGAGAGAAACUUAAUUCGUAUUUGGUGAGGAGAAAAGAAGAUAAGAGGGGAGGAAAUGAGGGAGCAAAAGAGGAAUUCAGACGGCAAAUUUAGUGAGGAGAGCACUGAACUGGGAGUCCGGAGACCUUCAUUUGAAGCCUAGCUCUCCUUGAUUUAUCAGAUUUCUUAGAAAUUUGGGCUUGGUCAGGUUUCUUGGCCUCUCUGAAUUUAGGUUUUGUCUUCUCUCAAAUAGGUGUCGUAUUGCCUUCCCAACGAAUCUCAUAAGAUUGCUCUAAAAAUCCAGUGGAAUGAUGAUUAUGCAAGUCCCGGGUGAGCGGAACCUACUCUGCACACGUGAGGUCCUGGCCUGGGGGUGAGAGCUAGCAGAGCACCCCACAUGCCUUAGAGGACUUAGCCUCACAACAAUCUUGCACUAUAAACUACUUUUUUAUUAANNNNNNNNNNNNNNNNNNNNNNNNNNNNNNNNNNNNNNNNNNNNNNNNNNNNNNNNNNNNNNNNNN